rnacentral:rRNA from 1 species
ACAUCUGGGAAUAGAACAACAGGGAUUGCCUCAGUAACGGCGAGUGAAGCGGCAACAGCUCAAAUUUGAAAGCUGGCUCUUUCAGGGUCCGCGUUGUAAUUUGCAGAGGAUGCUUCGGGUGCGGUGCCGGUCUAAGUUCUUUGGAACAAGACGUCAUAGAGGGUGAGAAUCCCGUAUGUGACUGGUGGCCUGCGCCCGUGUGAAGCUCCUUCGACGAGUCGAGUUGUUUGGGAAUGCAGCUCUAAAUGGGUGGUGUACUUCAUCUAAAGCUAAAUAUUGGGUCUAGACCGAUAGCGCACAAGUAGAGUGAUCGAAAGAUGAAAAGCACUUUGGAAAGAGAGUUAAACAGUACGUGAAAUUGUUGAAAGGGAAGCGCUUGCAAUCAGACUUGCGCUGCGUCGAUCAGCCUGGGUUUUCCCUGGUGCACUCGGCGCAGCGCAGGCCAGCAUCAGUUCUGGCGGUUGGAUAAAGGCCUGGAGAACGUGGGUCGCCUUGGCGAUUGUUAUAGCUCUGGGUGCAAUGCAGCCUGCCGGGACUGAGGACCGCGCUUCGGCUAGGAUGCUGGCGUAAUGGUUGUAAGCGACCCGUCUUGAAACACGGACCAAGGAGUCUAACAUUUAUGCGAGUGUUUGGGUGUCAAACCCAUACGCGCAAUGAAAGUGAACGGAGGUGAGAACCCUUAAGGGCGCAUCAUCGACCGAUCCUGAUGUCUUCGGAUGGAUUUGAGUAAGAGCAUAACUGUUGGGACCCGAAAGAUGGUGAACUAUGCGUGGAUAGGGUGAAGCCAGAGGAAACUCUGGUGGAGGCUCGCAGCGGUUCUGACGUGCAAAUCGAUCGUCAAAUCUACGUAUAGGGGCGAAAGACUAAUCGAACCAUUGAAGCCGAACUAGGUGGUUGGGAGGCCUGUAAGGCCUAGUCCUCAUAGGGGGCGAUACUGCAAAAUUGCGGGGACAGCUCGAUAGACGCAGGCUACCACAGCGGGCUUGAAAAAGCCCGCCACGGUCACAAUGCCUGCGCCUGAGCCGAUCCGCAGCGGUUUCCUACGGCGCAUCAGCGCUAUGGAACGCGUACAUCGACUAGAUGGCAGUGGGUGUAUUUCAGGGCGCCUAAGGUAUAGUCAGGCUGCGGCAGCGAUGCUGCAGCUACGCGUCAGUCUGUU